rnacentral:misc_RNA from 2 species
AACGCACAUUGCGCCUCUCGGCAUUCCGAGGGGCACGCCUGUUCGAGCGCCAUUACACACCCCAAGCUCUGCUUGAUGUUGGACCAGGCCGAAGCCGGCCGGACCGAAACGCGUGGGCGCCGUCCGCCUUCCCCGAGCGUAGCAAGAAAGCAAUUUCAAUCGCUCCGUGGUCGGAGGUGGACGUGCCGUCUGAAGUGUGGUGCAAACCGCAGACUUUUUCCAAAGUUUGGCCUCGGAUCAGGCGGGGAUACCCGCUGAACUUAA